ACACGACACCGAAGCUUAGGGAAUCGUCGUAAGACGAUUCGGUAGAGGAGCAUCGUCAUCACGCGGAAGCCGUACCGGAAGGAGCGGUGGAGCGUUAAGAAGAGAGAAUGCCGGAAUGAGUAGCGAGAUGAAGGUGAGAAUCCUCCAGGCCGAAUAUCCAAGGAUUCCAGGGUAAAGCUGAUCUGCCCUGGGUAAGUCGGGGCCUAAGGCGAGGUGGAGACACGUAGCCGAUGGAGAGCAGGUGGAGAUUCCUGCACUGCCGUAUGACAGAACUGUGGGGACGCAUGGGGAGAGCAUGAGCCGGGAGAGGGAAACCCGGUGGAAACAGCGGAGAUGAGGGGCAGGCAAAACCGUCCGUCAAGUCAAGGCUGCGAAGGAGCGAAAAGAAGUAGCGAAGCAUGCAAGACCGGUGCCGAGAAAAGCCGCUAUCGUUCAUACGGUACCCGUACCGCAAACCGACACAGGUAGAUAGGAAGAGAAUUCUAAGGCCAACGGGAGAAGGAUUGUUAAGGAACUCGGCAAAAUGACCCCGUAACUUCGGGAGAAGGGGUGCCACGGUAAAACGUGGCCGCAGAGAAUAGGCUCAGGCAACUGUUUAGCAAAAACACAGGUCUAUGCGAAACCGAAAGGUGAGGUAUAUGGGCUGACGCCUGCCCGGUGCUGGAAGGUUAAGAGGAGGGCUUAGCGCAAGCGAAGGUCUGAAUUGAAGCCCCAGUAAACGGCGGCCGUAACUAUAACGGUCCUAAGGUAGCGAAAUUCCUUGUCGGGUAAGUUCCGACCCGCACGAAAGGCGUAAUGAUCUGAGCGCUGUCUCGACAAUGCAUCCGGUGAAAUUGAAGUACCAGUGAAGAUGCUGGUUACCUGCGCCAGGACGGAAAGACCCCAUGGAGCUUUACUCCAGCUUGAUACUGGGAUCCGGUGCUGUAUGUACAGGAUAGGUGGGAGGCGAAGAAAUUGGGACGCCAGUCUCAAUGGAGCCGGUGUUGGGAUACCACCCUUGCAGUACUGGGUUUCUAACCGAGGCCGGUGAAGCCCGGUCCGGGACAAUGUCUGGUGGGGAGUUUGACUGGGGCGGUCGCCUCCGAAAGGGUAUCGGAGGCGCUCAAAGGUUCCCUCAGAAUGGACGGAAACCAUUCGGAGAGCGCAAAGGCAGAAGGGAGCUUGACUGCGACACCGACGGGUGGAGCAGGUACGAAAGUAGGACUUAGUGAUCCGGUGGUAUAAAGUGGGAUUGCCAUCGCUCAACGGAUAAAAGCUACCCUGGG
rnacentral:rRNA from 1 species